rnacentral:rRNA from 1 species
CCUACGGUGUGCAGCAGUAGGGAAUAUUGCUCAAUGGGGGAAACCCUGAAGCAGCAACGCCGCGUGGAGGAUGAAGGUUUUCGGAUUGUAAACUCCUUUUGUUAGAGAAGAUAAUGACGGUAUCUAACGAAUAAGCACAGGCUAACUCCGGGCCAGCAGCCGCGGUAAUACGGAGGGGGCAAGGGUUACUCGGAAUCACUGGGCGUACAGAGCGCGGAGGCGGGAUAGCAAGUCAGAUGUGAAAUCCUAUGGCUUAACCAUAGAACUGCAUUUGAAACUGUUAUUCUAGAGAAUGGGAGAGGUAGGUGGAAUUCUUGGUGUAGGGGUAAGAUCCGUAGAGAUCAAGAGGAAUACUCAUUGCGAAGGCGACCUGCUAGAACAUAACUGACGCUGAUGCGCGAAAGCGUGGGGAGCAAACAGGAUUAGAUACCCUUGUAGUC